AUGGAGGACAAGAUGAAAGAUCUGGAGGCCGUGCUGCUCGACGCCGACGACAAGUCGCGCCGGGGAGGAGUACACGGGAGAGUGUACGAGCGGUGGCUUACAAAGUUCAACGUGGAGGACGUGCUUGAUGAGCUGGACGCCAAUGAACUCAUGAGCAAGACCCAAUCCAAGGUCAGCAUAUGGUUUUCCAGACACAAUCAAUUCCUGCAGCGAAUAACCAUGCCCCACAAGAUGCAGACCGUGAUGAAAAAAGUAGACGAGAUUGAAAAGGAAGGCAAAAUGAGGCUCAAUGAUGUGCCUCGAGCAGCAACGGCACAAGGGAACAGGAACAAUGUUACUUUUGCAGCCAACCGGAAUGGAAUGGCGGAAAGGGGUGUCGAGGAGGGGAAGAUAACCAAUCCUGUGCCUCAAGAAGCAAAUGCAGAAUGGAGCAGAAACAAUAAUGAUACUUCUGCAGCCAACUCGGAUGGUGAUGACAUAAAAACUGGAAUAGUGGGGAGAGAUACCGAGAGCGAGAAGACAAUCAAUCAUGUGCCUCAAGCAGCAAAGGCACAAGGGAGCAGAAAUAACGAUACUUUUGCAGACAACUCGAAUGAUGAUGACAUCAAAUCUGGAAUUGCGGGGAGGGGUGUCGAGAAGGACAAUAUAAUUAGCCUGCUACUCACAAGUGAAGGACAAGAUAAUGGUGAUGACAUCCAGGAUAUCUCCAUCAUUCCAGUUGUUGGCCUUGGUGGCAUAGGCAAGACAACAUUGGUUGAAUCAGUUCUUGCUGACAAGAGGGUCAGCGUCUUUGACGUCUUAGUCUGGGUCCAUGUGUCCAAGCAGUUUGAUUUGCACAAAAUUGAGACGGACAUCCUGGAAAGCAUGAUGAGAAGCAAUAUCAAGCUUGACAGCUGGAAUUUAAAAGAAGAACUUGCUAAAAGAAGAUACUUGAUUGUUCUGGAUGAUCUCUGGGAAGAAGAUGGAAAUAAUCUUAAAAAGCUGAAGGAGAUGUUACAGCAUGGGCGCGAGGGUAGCAGGAUUAUAGUAACUACUCGAAAUCUGAGCGUGGUGCAAAAACUGACCACUGGUUCUCUUGCAAAUGGAAGGAAAUUUUGCCCAGUCACUGUGACUGAAAUAAUCAAUCUGGGUGUUUUAAAACCUGAGGACUGUUGGGAAUUAAUGAAGCAAAGGGCAUUUGGGCCUGAUGAUGACCACAGUGGCUUGGAAGAAAUUGGAAAGCAAAUUGCAGCCAAGUGUGGGGGUUUACCGCUCGUGGCAAAUGCUCUUGGGCAUGUAAUGUCAGAGCUGAGGACCGUUCAGGCAUGGGAAGAUAUAAGAGACUCCAAGGUUGAUUUGGGUUUGAAAGAAGGAUAUCAGAAAGAAACAUUAGAGAGGCUAAUGCUGAGCUAUUACUACAUGAAGAUAGAAUUCAAAAUGUGUUUCACGUACUUGGCAGCCUUCCCCAAGGGCUUUGUCAUGGACAACAAUCAUAUAAUCCAGCAAUGGAAUGCACUUGGAUACAUCAAUUCAAGGCACGAUGGUCAAAGGUGCAUUAACUACCUUUUGGGGAUGUCUUUUCUUCGCAUUCCAGGAUACACUUCGGUUAGUCCAAAUCCAUUGCAUUUCAAAGCUCCUCAAGAACUUGUCAUGCAUGAUUUGGUACAUGAUCUUGUAUCAAUAAUUGCUGCUGAUGAAUCCAUUGAUCUGGAUGCUACCAAAAGCACUAGCUGGAACAGAGCUCGUUACUGCCGACAUGCACAGUUAACCAACUUCAACAUUGAUCCUAAGAUUUUCAAAUAUAUUCCAGGCAAGCUUAGAUCACUCCAUUUUAGGGAUUUGGGGGGACUGCAACUCCCGAAAAAGGCAUUUUCUCGAUCCAAGUACAUACGUGUCUUGGACCUAAGUGGACAUUCAGCUAAAGGCCAAUCUGCUCCUAGUACUGUGGUGCUGCCAUCUUCCAUGAAUCAAUUGAAGCUAAUCAGGUAUCUUGAUGCCACAGGCUUACCAAUAACAUCACUUCCGAAGAAUUUUCAUGCACUUCAAAACAUGGAAACUCUUAUUCUCUCCAAUUCCUUGCUUGAAACCUUGCCUGACAGUCUUGUUACUCAUGGAUUUGUGAACUAG
rnacentral:rRNA from 1 species